UACAAAAACAUAGUUUAAGGAAAUAAUCUUAAAUGAAUUCUGCCCAGUGAUUUUUUUUUAAAUGGCCGCAGUACCUUGACUGUGCUAAGGUAGCAUAAUCAAUUGGCUUCUAAUUAAAGUCUGGAAUGAAAGGAAAUAUGAAGUAAUUCUAUCUUAAAGGAUUUUUUUUGAAUUUAUUUAAAUGAUGAAAAUAUCAUUUUAUAGAAAAAAGACGAGAAGACCCUUAGAGUUUUGAUAUUUAUAUAUUUUUGUUGGGGCGACAGGUAAACAUAUAACUUUACGAAUUAUCAUUGAUCGAUUUUUUAUAAGAAUAAUAAAACUACCUUAGGGAUAACAGCAUUAUAUUUUUUUUUAUGAUUGUGACCUCGAUGUUGGACUAGGAACUUUAUGGCUAGCCGUCAAAAAAGAUUUUCGCCGUUACAAAU
rnacentral:rRNA from 1 species